CAGUCGAGCGGAGAUGAGGUGCUUGCACCUUAUCUUAGCGGCGGACGGGUGAGUAAUGCUUAGGAAUCUGCCUAUUAGUGGGGGACAACAUUCCGAAAGGAAUGCUAAUACCGCAUACGCCCUACGGGGGAAAGCAGGGGAUCUUCGGACCUUGCGCUAAUAGAUGAGCCUAAGUCGGAUUAGCUAGUUGGUGGGGUAAAGGCCUACCAAGGCGACGAUCUGUAGCGGGUCUGAGAGGAUGAUCCGCCACACUGGGACUGAGACACGGCCCAGACUCCUACGGGAGGCAGCAGUGGGGAAUAUUGGACAAUGGGCGGAAGCCUGAUCCAGCCAUGCCGCGUGUGUGAAGAAGGCCUUUUGGUUGUAAAGCACUUUAAGCGAGGAGGAGGCUACUUAGAUUAAUACUCUAGGAUAGUGGACGUUACUCGCAGAAUAAGCACCGGCUAACUCUGUGCCAGCAGCCGCGGUAAUACAGAGGGUGCGAGCGUUAAUCGGAUUUACUGGGCGUAAAGCGUGCGUAGGCGGCUGAUUAAGUCGGAUGUGAAAUCCCUGAGCUUAACUUAGGAAUUGCAUUCGAUACUGGUCAGCUAGAGUAUGGGAGAGGAUGGUAGAAUUCCAGGUGUAGCGGUGAAAUGCGUAGAGAUCUGGAGGAAUACCGAUGGCGAAGGCAGCCAUCUGGCCUAAUACUGACGCUGAGGUACGAAAGCAUGGGGAGCAAACAGGAUUAGAUACCCUGGUAGUCCAUGCCGUAGACGAUGUCUACUAGCCGUUGGGGCCUUUGAGGCUUUAGUGGCGC
rnacentral:rRNA from 1 species